rnacentral:rRNA from 1 species
AUUGAACGCUGGCGGCAGGCCUAACACAUGCAAGUCGAACGGUAACAGGGAGCAGCUUGCUGCUUUGCUGACGAGUGGCGGACGGGUGAGUAAUGUCUGGGAAACUGCCUGAUGGAGGGGGAUAACUACUGGAAACGGUAGCUAAUACCGCAUAACGUCGCAAGACCAAAGAGGGGGACCUUAGGGCCUCUUGCCAUCGGAUGUGCCCAGAUGGGAUUAGCUAGUAGGUGGGGUAACGGCUCACCUAGGCGACGAUCCCUAGCUGGUCUGAGAGGAUGACCAGCCACACUGGAACUGAGACACGGUCCAGACUCCUACGGGAGGCAGCAGUGGGGAAUAUUGCACAAUGGGCGCAAGCCUGAUGCAGCCAUGCCGCGUGUAUGAAGAAGGCCUUCGGGUUGUAAAGUACUUUCAGCGGGGAGGAAGGGAGUAAAGUUAAUACCUUUGCUCAUUGACGUUACCCGCAGAAGAAGCACCGGCUAACUCCGUG